UGGGGAAGCCCUGGAUCCUGGGCUGUGUCCCCUGGUGCCCUGGGCUCCCGGGCCUGAGCCACUGGAAUCGCGCUCCCGGGCCGCGCAGCCCCCU
rfam:Canis lupus familiaris chromosome 25, whole genome shotgun sequence.